rnacentral:rRNA from 1 species
UACAGAGGGGGCGAGCGUUGUUCGGAAUUACUGGGCGUAAAGGGCGCGUAGGCGGCCCGCUAAGUCGAACGUGAAAUCCCCAGGCUCAACCUGGGAACUGCGUCCGAUACUGGCAGGCUUGGAUCCGGGAGAGGGAUGUGGAAUUCCAGGUGUAGCGGUGAAAUGCGUAGAUAUCUGGAGGAACACCGGUGGCGAAGGCGGCAUCCUGGACCGGUAUUGACGCUGAGGCGCGAAAGCUAGGGGAGCAAACGGG